GACGAACGCUGGCGGCGUGCUUAACACAUGCAAGUCGAACGGAAAGGCCCUGCUUUUGUGGGGUGCUCGAGUGGCGAACGGGUGAGUAACACGUGAGUAACCUGCCCUUGACUUUGGGAUAACUUCAGGAAACUGGGGCUAAUACCGGAUAGGAGCUCCUGCUGCAUGGUGGGGGUUGGAAAGUUUCGGCGGUUGGGGAUGGACUCGCGGCUUAUCAGCUUGUUGGUGGGGUAGUGGCUUACCAAGGCUUUGGCGGGUAGCCGGCCUGAGAGGGUGACCGGCCACAUUGGGACUGAGAUACGGCCCAGACUCCUACGGGAGGCAGCAGUGGGGAAUAUUGCACAAUGGGCGGAAGCCUGAUGCAGCAACGCCGCGUGCGGGAUGACGGCCUUCGGGUUGUAACCCGCUUUCGCCUGUGACGAAGCGUGAGUGACGGUAAUGGGUAAAGAAGCACCGGCUAACUACGUG
rnacentral:rRNA from 1 species